rnacentral:rRNA from 1 species
UACAGAGGUCUCAAGCGUUGUUCGGAUUCAUUGGGCGUAAAGGGUGCGUAGGCGGCGCGGUAAGUCAGGUGUGAAAUCUUGGAGCUUAACUCCGAAACUGCAUUCGAUACUGCCGUGCUUGAGGACUGGAGAGGAGACUGGAAUUUACGGUGUAGCAGUGAAAUGCGUAGAGAUCGUAAGGAAGGCCAGUGGCGAAGGCGAGUUCCUGGACAGUUACUGACGCUGAGGCGCGAAAGCUAGGGGAGCAAACGGG